GCCGCCGUGGCGGAAUUGGUUUACGCAGAGGACUUAAAAUCCUCGGCUCGAAAGGGCUUGUGGGUUCAAAUCCCACCGGCGGCA
rfam:Parcubacteria (Giovannonibacteria) bacterium GW2011_GWA2_45_21 TX06_C0052, whole genome shotgun sequence.